rnacentral:rRNA from 1 species
GUGGGGAAUCUUAGACAAUGGGCGCAAGCCUGAUCUAGCCAUGCCGCGUGAGCGAUGAAGGCCUUAGGGUUGUAAAGCUCUUUCGUGGGGGAAGAUAAUGACUGUACCCCAAGAAGAAGCCCCGGCUAACUCCGUGCCAGCAGCCGCGGUAAUACGGAGGGGGCUAGCGUUGUUCGGAAUUACUGGGCGUAAAGCGCACGUAGGCGGACUGGAAAGUCAGGGGUGAAAUCCCGGGGCUCAACCCCGGAACUGCCUUUGAAACUCCCAGUCUUGAGUUCGAGAGAGGUGAGUGGAAUUCCGAGUGUAGAGGUUAAAUUCGUAGAUAUUCGGAGGAACACCAGUGGCGAAGGCGGCUCACUGGCUCGAUACUGACGCUGAGGUGCGAAAGCGUGGGGAGCAAACAGGAUUAGAUACCCGUGUAGUCC